AGACUCCCUCUCAAAUGGAUAAGGAGGGAGCAGUAACUACCAUGCUUAGUACUAGCAAUGAAAUUAUCCCUCAAAUGGAGACUCCCUCUCAAAUGGAUGAUGAUGGCACAAGUAAUGACUGGACUCCACAAAUGGGUAUGAAAUUUAAUGAUGUAGAUGAGGCAUGGGAGUUUUGGAAGAUGUAUGCAUUAAAAAUUGGUUUUGGUGUACGUGGGAGAGUUACUAACAAAGGGAAGGAUGGUUCCAUAACUUCUACACGUUUUUGUUGCGCAAAAGAAGGACAUCGACAAAAAGAUAUACGGUCGGAAUUAGUAAAAAGCCUAGGCCCGAAACGAGGAUGGACUGCCAUGCCCGAAUGGGAAUCAAAUUAGUUUGAGAGAGUGGUAAAUAUUUUGUGUAUGAUUUUGAGCCAAUGCAUUCCCAUUCACUCCACUUUGCAGAGUGUACUCACUUGAUAUGGUCACAUAGGAAAAUAAGCGACGUCCAAGCUCAGCAAAUUAUGUUGGUCGACAAUGCGGGCCUCACACAAAGACAGCAGCAUGACUUGUCUAGUGUACGAUCUGGGGGAAGAGAAAAUGUUGGUUACACGAGGGUUGAUGUGAAAAACUAUCUUCGCACUAAACGAGGGAGAGGCAUGGAGUUUGGAGACGCAGGAUGUUUAUUGAAAGAUGGACACGUGAAGCAAGAGAUGGAAUACUCGAGAAGCAUGGUUUAGAUACUCGGGGGAAUGGUGACAUGGAUGUUACUUAUAGAUAUAGAGAGGUGUGUCUCGAGUUUGUGAAGAUAGCAGUCAAGGGUUCACAAACUACUCGGAGAUAUGAAUUUAUCAAGAAGAUGAUCUUGACCAUUAACAAAUCUCUCGAUGAAAUGCCACUUGGAGGUGAGUCUUAGAGAAAUUUAACAGGCUUAAGUGAAGAUACAAGUCUCAUUGCAAAAUGUACGGGCCUCAAGAAGAAAGAUGGACGCAAAGGAGGACAGCGACAUAAGAGCUGUCUAGAGAAGAAUAAAAGAAAAGGAAAGAAGCAAGGAGACACACCUCAAGCUUCUUCGCAAGCUUCUUGUGCACCUCAAGUUCUUGGAAGUUACUAUAACUCUCCGGGUUUUUAUAGUAAUCUACUCAGUACGUUUGAGGCACCACGAGACUUCAAUAUGCCUUCCAUGAUAACAUCGCUUGGUGACGGGCUUACGAGCCUGGUUAUGCGAUCCCACCAGCUCCCCCCGAACUUAGAACAUACAGCC